rnacentral:rRNA from 1 species
AUUGAACGCUGGCGGCAGGCCUAACACAUGCAAGUCGAGCGGUUGAGAUAGCUUGCUAUCGAUGCAGCGGCGAACGGGUGAGUAAUGCAUGGGAAUCUGCCUGGUAGUGGGGGACAACGUUUCGAAAGGAACGCUAAUACCGCAUACGCCCUACGGGGGAAAGGGGGGGAUCUUCGGACCUCUCGCUAUCAGAUGAGCCCAUGCCGGAUUAGCUAGUUGGGGGGGUAAAGGCCCACCAAGGCGACGAUCCGUAGCUGGUCUGAGAGGAUGAUCAGCCACACUGGAACUGAGACACGGUCCAGACUCCUACGGGAGGCAGCAGAGGGGAAUAUUGGACAAUGGGGGCAACCCUGAUCCAGCCAUGCCGCGUGUGUGAAGAAGGCCUUAGGGUUGUAAAGCACUUUCAGUGGGGAGAAAGGUGAUUCACCUAAUACGUGAGUCAAUUGAUGCUACCCACAGAAGAAGCACCGGCUAACUCCGUGCCAGCCGCCGCGGUAA